GGCACUCUGCAAUUCAAACGGAAGAAGAAAUGCGUAAUCCUUAAGGCACCUGCUGCGCUGCGUUGAUCUCCCUAACGUGGCCGAGGGCUCACCGAUUCUGAAAUGAAGAAGGAAGCUAGCUGGUUUAAUUGCAUCUUAUAAAGAAAGCCUGAUGCUGUUUCAUCUGCAAAUGUGAUGUAAUGAUGUAACGACUCUUUUACUGCUUACCUUUGGCUGAGAGAAUCCCAUGAAAGUCAGAGUGUGAAAACAUUGUAAACCAUAAAGAGCUACAUAUGUAAGAUUCUGAAAAACCCAGUGGAAGCUGAUCUCUGCUUCGAACACUGAGGAGAUUUGAGCUGCUCUCAUGCAGCCUACCCGGGCACUCUCGCUGCUGUCCUCUCAGCCUCUGGGGCAGGAACUCGGCUUAUCUUCUGCAGGUCCAAUGUGCCUGUGUUUUGAAUACCUAAUUAAUUAGAACAUGCAUUGACUUACUUUGCCAAAGGUGCAUAAUUUAUCUUGCUGGGCUCCUGAAGUUAUUUCGGGCCUCCAGUUCACCAGGACAGGAAUGUGCACCUGUGUCCAGUAUUUUUCAGGUUGACUUGCUGGGGAUUUGAACUACAAUCAGCAUGUGGCUUCCAGCUACACAGUCUGGCUGUUCAAGUCUGAUGACCGUCUUGCACCUGUUGCAGUGAAAACACCCGGUCUCUACACAGACACCAGAAUACUAAUGCUGGGAUCAGUGCAUCACAUUCUGUUAUGGUUCAGAUGAUAGAACUCUAUCAGGGCUGGCAUUCUGCUAGGGCAGUGAUAAUGUGCUGCUCAAAACAAGCUGGAUUCCACAUGGCAACUGAAGCUUGAAACCCUGGCCUGGCCAGCCCGGAACAUGCUGGGCACAGGUAUGAGUGCCCCAGAUCCGAGGAGCCGGUGGACUACAGAAAGAAUUAUCCUGAGACAGAAUAAAAGAUGUGGAAGGGGGCAGACAAUUUCAGCCCAC